GUCUAUGGCCAUACCACCCUGAACAUGCCCAAUCUUGUCUGAUCUUGGAAGCUAAGCAGGGUCCAGCCUGGUUAGUACUUGGAUGAGAGAACCACAUGGUUAUCUCAAUAGAUAUCAUAAAAG
ensembl:rRNA 5S_rRNA 5S ribosomal RNA